UUGGUUGUGGUCACGCUCAACUACAGGCUGGGACCUCUAGAUGCCUGCUGGGAUGCGGGCGACGAAGCAGCCUAUCGGACGGCAGCGGCAAGAAGGCUUACCGGAGUGAGGAUUCCUGAAUACAUCACCGACGGGGUCAACACGCAAGGUGGUGGGCAACCAGGGGCUGAUGGACCAGCUUGCCGCGCUGUCGUGGGUGCACGAAAAUAUUGCGGCUUUUGGUGGCGAUCCCGGCAGAGUGACGUUAUUUGGUCAUGCAGCAGGGGCGGCCUGCAUCACCUACCUCAUGGUGUC